GUAGGGAGCGAGCGUUAUCCGGAUUCAUUGGGCGUAAAGCGCGCGUAGGCGGGCGGUUAAGCGAGAUGUGAAAACCAGGGGCUCAAUCCGCUGGCCGGCAUCCGAAACAGGCGGGCUCGAGUGAUGGUAGAGGAAAGGUGGAAUUCCCAGUGUAGCGGUGAAAUGCGCAGAUAUAGGGAAGAACACCAGCUGGCGAAGGCAGCGUUGUGGGCCACCACUGACGGUGAGGCACGAAAGCUAGGGGAGCGAACAGGAUGAGAUACCCUGGUAGUUCUACCCGUAAACGAUGGGCACUAGGUGUGUGAGGUCGAUCGACUCCUCCGUGCCGCAGCCAACGCAUUAA
rnacentral:rRNA from 1 species